UUAGCAGAUGACGAGAAUCGAGACAAGGUGUCUGCAGCCGCGCCCCGAUCCAAGUCGGGGAGCGCGAUAAGCAUGAUGACUCCGUCUAGGGGAAUCUCUGAUGCGAG
rnacentral:snoRNA from 1 species